rnacentral:pre_miRNA from 1 species
GGAAACUUGAAAACUACCGUUGCAUCGAGAAAUAGAUGUCCGAGAUUCGUCCACGUCACCAUGAGUUAAAAUUUAACUCCAGUAAAAUUUUUAAAUUUUAACUCAUGAGUGAAUCGCCGAGUUAAAUUUUAACUCAUAGUGACGUGGACGAAUUUCGGACAUCCAUUUCUCAAUCUAACGAUAGUUUUUAAGUUUCC